rnacentral:rRNA from 1 species
UAAGGAAUAUUGGUCAAUGGACGAAAGUCUGAACCAGCCAUGCCGCGUGAAGGAUGAAGGCCCUCUGGGUUGUAAACUUCUUUUAUCUGGGACGAAAAAAGCUCAUUCUUGAGCACUUGACGGUACCAGAGGAAUAAGCACCGGCUAACUCCGUGCCAGCAGCCGCGGUAAUACGGAGGGUGCAAGCGUUAUCCGGAUUCACUGGGUUUAAAGGGUGCGUAGGUGGGUUUGUAAGUCAGUGGUGAAAUCUCCGAGCUUAACUCGGAAACUGCCAUUGAUACUAUAGAUCUUGAAUCAUCUGGAGGUAAGCGGAAUAUGUCAUGUAGCGGUGAAAUGCUUAGAUAUGACAUAGAACACCAAUUGCGAAGGCAGCUUACUACGGGUGUAUUGACACUGAGGCACGAAAGCGUGGGGAUCAAACAGGAUUAGAUACCCGGGUAGUCC